rnacentral:tRNA from 1 species
GGAGAGAUGCAGGAGUGGUUGAACUGGCCGCUCUCGAAAAGCGGUAUGGGGCGACUCAUCGAGGGUUCGAAUCCCUCUCUCUCCGCCA